CUGCAGCUGUGUUGUCUUUCGGGUUUAGGUCUGGGGAAGACACUUGCUUUUGAUUAUGUAGCAUGAUUGCCGAGACUUUGGUGAUAUUUUUUUGGUGAUAAGUGUAUUCAUGGAAGAAUUGUUCUUACAUCUGAAGAGAAUGCCCCUCGAGUUCACGUUUGUUAUCAUUGCAUGGUUCUACAUGAAUUCAAUCAUGUCAAUCCUGAAGAUUACAAUGAAGUUAAAGACUUUGCAACAACUUGAGUACCUUUGAAAGUAUACCUUAAUUUAUUGGCUAUUGGAUUGGUUUGUGUACUCAUGCUCUGUUCACUAUAGGGUCUUUUAACAGCAGUUAUUGAAGCAUAUAAUAUACUCCCGCAUUUGGGUGUUAUGAAGACACCAAGUUUUAAUAAACUUACUUCAGCUGGUUUCAAAGUCAAAAUCUGGAUAGCGGAUUGGUUUGAUUUCUUAAAAAGACAAAAAGGAUGCGGAUUUGGAAAAGAGACAAACCGUUGGGCGUUACCUCAUUGAGAUAUGGAAAUCAGCCGGGAUGAUUGGUAGGUAUUAAGCCAAUGGUGUCGUUUUUCACCAUUCUUUGCAUUUAAUCUCAAAGAUCUCUUGGGUUUGCAUAAGUAUUUCAAUGGAUGUAAAAAGAAGAAAAAAGUGUUCCAUUCCGUUAUUUUGACGGCUAUUUGGUGCAUUUGGAAUGUGCGAAAUAAUUUGUUAUUUAAUAACAAACCCCUGUCGUUGUCUAGAAUCGUGGAAGAGUCCAAGGUGUUGAGCUACACGUGGGUUAAAGACAGGGCAAAAGAAGGCGGGUCUUACAUGGGAAGGCUGGAGGAGAUUUAUUUUUUUUGGGGAUAUGCAAUUUUCUGUUUUGGUGUCCUGUACCUUCUGUUUGUUUGGAGGUCUUGUAUUGUUUGGCAGUAAUCGUGAUUGAAGCGGACGACUUUCGGUGUCUUUCGAGGUGUCGUUCGUGUAUUUCGGUCAGAUUUCGUUGAUUUUCAGACUGAUUAAGGAUUGU